AGAGCGAACGCUGGCGGCAGGCCUAACACAUGCAAGUCGAGCGCCGUAGCAAUACGGAGCGGCAGACGGGAGAGUAACACGUGGGAACGUACCCUUCAGUUCGGAACAACCCAGGGAAACUUGGGCUAAUACCGAAUACGUCCGUAAGGAGAAAGAUUUAUCGCUGAAGGAUCGGCCCGCGUCUGAUUAGCUUGUUGGUGAGGUAAUGGCUCACCAAGGCUACGAUCAGUAGCUGGUCUGAGAGGAUGAUCAGCCUCACUGGGACUGAGACACGGCCCAGACUCCUACGGGAGGCAGCAGUGGGGAAUAUUGGACAAUGGGCGCAAGCCUGAUCCAGCCAUGCCGCGUGGGUGAUGAAGGCCCUAGGGUUGUAAAGCCCUUUCGGCGGGAAGAUAAUGACGGUACCCGCAGAAGAAGCCCGGCUAACUUCGUGCCAGCAGCCGC
rnacentral:rRNA from 1 species